rnacentral:lncRNA from 1 species
ACAAACAUUUCAACGCUAAGCGUAAACCCCUAAUAAUAAUAGGGUUGUUCAUCUCAGUAGUUAGAUUACAAGUUUGCACCAAAUUAAGUUUGGUUUGGAUACAUUUCAAGGUAAUUUUGAAUUCAACGAACAUCAACUAAGGAUUAGUUGAAUAAAAGGUAAUCACAUUAUGCUAUGGAAUAAAUCAUAAGUGAACUAACAUUGUAUAUUAAAGUCAUGCUUUAGG